CAUAGCGUGGCAACAGCGCGCCGUC
rnacentral:sRNA from 1 species